GGGACUGAUUUGGUUUCGACAUUUAAUAGUUAUUUGUAUAUGUCAGGUCAAAGUUAGUACUCUUUGUAAAAAAGACUCCAUUAUAAAUACAUGCUAAUAACAUCAUGCCUUUUAUUUUCAAUAUAGUAAAACCAAAAUCAACGAUUUUAAAUUUUGCUAUUUAAGUAUAUAACGUAAGUUAUUAAUUAUUUUUUCAUUAUUCCUAGACUUUUUUCUAUGAUAUAGUUUAGAAUAAUUUUAAAUUUUAAAUCUUGUUCAAAGUUUUUGAACUAAACCUGUAAAUGCGCAUAUAUUAAUACACUUUAGAUGGACAUGGGUUCAAUUCCCAUCAGUUCCAAUA
rfam:Thalassiosira oceanica CCMP1005 chloroplast, complete genome.